UUUACGUUUUUAACGCCUCUCAGAGAGCUGCUGACGGUACUGAGUUUGUAUUCCACCGGCGGGCGCCUUUAUUGGCCGCGGACCCCGCCCUGGGGUCGCUCGCCGAGGCAACUAUAGCGGUACUUGUCCACAUGCGGGUUUUGAGCUUGUAACUCGGUAAUGAUCCCUCCGCUGGUUCACCAACGGAGA
rnacentral:misc_RNA from 1 species